rnacentral:rRNA from 1 species
UUAAGCGACUAAGCGUACACGGUGGAUGCCCUGGCAGUCAGAGGCGAUGAAGGACGUGCUAAUCUGCGAUAAGCGCCGGUAAGGUGAUAUGAACCGUUAUAACCGGCGAUUUCCGAAUGGGGAAACCCAGUGUGAUUCGUCACACUAUCAUUAACUGAAUCCAUAGGUUAAUGAGGCGAACCGGGGGAACUGAAACAUCUAAGUACCCCGAGGAAAAGAAAUCAACCGAGAUUCCCCCAGUAGCGGCGAGCGAACGGGGAGGAGCCCAGAGCCUGAAUCAGCAUGUGUGUUAGUGGAAGCGUCUGGAAAGGUGCGCGAUACAGGGUGACAGCCCCGUACACAAAAGCGCAUGUGCUGUGAGCUCGAUGAGUAGGGCGGGACACGUGGUAUCCUGUCUGAAUAUGGGGGGACCAUCCUCCAAGGCUAAAUACUCCUGACUGACCGAUAGUGAACCAGUACCGUGAGGGAAAGGCGAAAAGAACCCCGGCGAGGGGAGUGAAAAAGAACCUGAAACCGUGUACGUACAAGCAGUGGGAGCACCCUUCGGGGUGUGACUGCGUACCUUUUGUAUAAUGGGUCAGCGACUUAUAUUCUGUAGCAAGGUUAACCGUAUAGGGGAGCCGGAGGGAAACCGAGUCUUAACCGGGCGUUAAGUUGCAGGGUAUAGACCCGAAACCCGGUGAUCUAGCCAUGGGCAGGUUGAAGGUUGGGUAACACUAACUGGAGGACCGAACCGACUAAUGUUGAAAAAUUAGCGGAUGACCUGUGGCUGGGGGUGAAAGGCCAAUCAAACCGGGAGAUAGCUGGUUCUCCCCGAAAGCUAUUUAGGUAGCGCCUCGUGAAUUCAUCUCCGGGGGUAGAGCACUGUUUCGGCUAGGGGGCCAUCCCGGCUUACCAACCCGAUGCAAACUGCGAAUACCGGAGAAUGUUAUCACGGGAGACACACGGCGGGUGCUAACGUCCGUCGUGAAGAGGGAAACAACCCAGACCGCCAGCUAAGGUCCCAAAGUCAUGGUUAAGUGGGAAACGAUGUGGGAAGGCCCAGACAGCCAGGAUGUUGGCUUAGAAGCAGCCAUCAUUUAAAGAAAGCGUAAUAGCUCACUGGUCGAGUCGGCCUGCGCGGAAGAUGUAACGGGGCUAAACCAUGCACCGAAGCUGCGGCAGCGAACGUAUCACCCAAGACAACUUUACGGAGUUGACGAUUGACGGAGCGAAGCGACGUCAAAGCGUUCAUUAAAGUCGAGUUGGCUUAGGGAUACGUUCGUUGGGUAGGGGAGCGUUCUGUAAGCCUGUGAAGGUGUGUCGUGAGGCAUGCUGGAGGUAUCAGAAGUGCGAAUGCUGACAUAAGUAACGAUAAAGCGGGUGAAAAGCCCGCUCGCCGGAAGACCAAGGGUUCCUGUCCAACGUUAAUCGGGGCAGGGUGAGUCGACCCCUAAGGCGAGGCCGAAAGGCGUAGUCGAUGGGAAACGGGUUAAUAUUCCCGUACUUGGUGUUACUGCGAAGGGGGGACGGAGAAGGCUAUGUUGGCCGGGCGACGGUUGUCCCGGUUUAAGCGUGUAGGUGUGUGUUCCAGGUAAAUCCGGUUCACUUUAACACUGAGGCGUGACGACGAGGCACUACGGUGCUGAAGCAACAAAUGCCCUGCUUCCAGGAAAAGCCUCUAAGCAUCAGGUAACACGAAAUCGUACCCCAAACCGACACAGGUGGUCAGGUAGAGAAUACCAAGGCGCUUGAGAGAACUCGGGUGAAGGAACUAGGCAAAAUGGUGCCGUAACUUCGGGAGAAGGCACGCUGACACGUAGGUGAAGUGAUUUACUCAUGGAGCUGAAGUCAGUCGAAGAUACCAGCUGGCUGCAACUGUUUAUUAAAAACACAGCACUGUGCAAACACGAAAGUGGACGUAUACGGUGUGACGCCUGCCCGGUGCCGGAAGGUUAAUUGAUGGGGUCAGCGCAAGCGAAGCUCCUGAUCGAAGCCCCGGUAAACGGCGGCCGUAACUAUAACGGUCCUAAGGUAGCGAAAUUCCUUGUCGGGUAAGUUCCGACCUGCACGAAUGGCGUAAUGAUGGCCAGGCUGUCUCCACCCGAGACUCAGUGAAAUUGAACUCGCUGUGAAGAUGCAGUGUACCCGCGGCAAGACGGAAAGACCCCGUGAACCUUUACUAUAGCUUGACACUGAACAUUGAGCCUUGAUGUGUAGGAUAGGUGGGAGGCUUUGAAGUGUGGACGCCAGUCUGCAUGGAGCCGACCUUGAAAUACCACCCUUUAAUGUUUGAUGUUCUAACGUGGACCCGUAAUCCGGGUUGCGGACAGUGUCUGGUGGGUAGUUUGACUGGGGCGGUCUCCUCCUAAAGAGUAACGGAGGAGCACGAAGGUUGGCUAAUCCUGGUCGGACAUCAGGAGGUUAGUGCAAUGGCAUAAGCCAGCUUGACUGCGAGCGUGACGGCGCGAGCAGGUGCGAAAGCAGGUCAUAGUGAUCCGGUGGUUCUGAAUGGAAGGGCCAUCGCUCAACGGAUAAAAGGUACUCCGGGGAUAACAGGCUGAUACCGCCCAAGAGUUCAUAUCGACGGCGGUGUUUGGCACCUCGAUGUCGGCUCAUCACAUCCUGGGGCUGAAGUAGGUCCCAAGGGUAUGGCUGUUCGCCAUUUAAAGUGGUACGCGAGCUGGGUUUAGAACGUCGUGAGACAGUUCGGUCCCUAUCUGCCGUGGGCGCUGGAGAACUGAGGGGGGCUGCUCCUAGUACGAGAGGACCGGAGUGGACGCAUCACUGGUGUUCGGGUUGUCAUGCCAAUGGCACUGCCCGGUAGCUAAAUGCGGAAGAGAUAAGUGCUGAAAGCAUCUAAGCACGAAACUUGCCCCGAGAUGAGUUCUCCCUGAGACUUAGAGUCUCCUGAAGGAACGUUGAAGACGACGACGUUGAUAGGCCGGGUGUGUAAGCGCAGCGAUGCGUUGAGCUAACCGGUACUAAUGAACCGUGAGGCUUAACCUU